UACGUAGGGUGCGAGCGUUGUCCGGAAUUACUGGGCGUAAAGAGUUCGUAGGCGGUUUGUCGCGUCGUUCGUGAAAACUUGGGGCUUAACUCCAAGCGUGCGGGCGAUACGGGCAGACUUGAGUACUACAGGGGAGACUGGAAUUCCUGGUGUAGCGGUGAAAUGCGCAGAUAUCAGGAGGAACACCGGUGGCGAAGGCGGGUCUCUGGGUAGUAACUGACGCUGAGGAACGAAAGCGUGGGUAGCGAACAGGA
rnacentral:rRNA from 1 species